ACGCGGGAGAGAUGGGCAAUCAGCCCAUCAAGAAACGUUCACCAAGCGGGCACGUUCUGCCAGGCGCUGGAGAUGGCCAAGGGCAGUCCCUGGUCGCGAGGGGCUUACACUCUCACGGGGGAGAUCCCACGCAAACCCCUGUAGACGGAAAAAAUGGCGGGGGGGGGUGCUCUAGAGGAAAGGCGCUGGAAUCCCGAGGGGCCGGGAAGCCUCCCCGUAGAUGGUGGGACAGACAUAAGCCCGCGUGGGGCACGUCCAGAGAGGAUGCCCGGAGCCCCGAGACCGAGGCUCUUGUUCCCGUAGCUGCCGGGCCACUGGAUCGCGUGGUGAAUCCGGUGUAAGAAGCCUGGGGCCAGGCUUUGGAGGGACUUGGAAUGUAUCUGAGGUUGUAGCUCAAGGGGAGCCCCUGCAUUCACUGAGUGCAGGGAGGGGGGGUGGCAUGACACACCUGAGCUUUAGAGCAAUCCUUUUGGUGGAUGGAUGAAGGCGGGGGCUGUAGGGGGAGAGCCUGGAGGUGGGCAGCACCUCCCGGACCCCAUCACCUACUUCAGUAGUCCAGGUGAUGAGGGUCUACACCAGGGUGGGGGCCGUGUCCUGUCAGAGCAGAGAAGGGGGCAUAUGGGAAAGCGAUUGCAAGGGUAAACAGCAGACUGGUACCAUAUUGGCUAUAGGGGGUGAGAGGCAGUGAGGAGUCAGAGAUGACCCCUAGCUUGUGAGCCUGGGGGCCUGGGGGGAUAGGAAUGGAGUAGGUGACAGAGGGCAAGGGUUUAGAGGAGAAAUAAUGGCUGAUUUGGGACAUGUUGAAUUUUAGAUGUCUGAAAGGCAGUUGGAGAUGAACAGAGAGACUGGAGGAGGAAAGGUAGGUUUGAGAUAGUAAUUAAAUUUGUGGGGGCUGAUGGGAUCACCAGGUAUAGCAGACUAGAGCUGAGCUUCUUAAACUGUGGGUCUGAAAGGUCAUGUAUAGCUAUUUUAUCUACCUACUAUAUACCUGGGGCCAAGGGUAGCUGAAGUUUAAGCCCUGGUCUAGAGAGAGAAGGGGGCCCAGGACAGAACCUUCAGGACACCUAGGAUUAGAGGGAGUGGUCUGCAGGAGGAUCCAGAGGCAGGUGACAAAGGAGCAGCCAGAGAGAGCGACCCACAGUGAGUAGCCAAGACUACAGCAAGCUCAGGGAGACCAAGGAUUGAGAAAUCACCUUUGGAUUUGGUGAUUAGAUCGUUUGUGCCUUGGCCAAGGAAAUGAUGAGGUCGGAAGCUGAACUGGAAGGGGUUAAGAGAGAAAGUGGAGGCACCUGUUGUAGAGUAGUUUAGCCACAGAGGGCAGAUGAGACAUAGAAGAUGGGAGGGAUGGAAGGGUCAAAGGAAGAGUUGGGUUUUUGGUUUGUUUGUUUUUUCCAGAAGAGAUAGGGGCAUGUUUGUAGAGAUAAGUCAGGAGAGGGAGAGAUGGAGGCUAAGUGAUGGAGUGGAGAUGAGAACCAUCCCAAGAUAACCACAUUUCCAGAUGUUCAAUAGGCCGUUGAAGGUGGAAAUCUGGAGGUCAGCAGAGUCGGGCCCUAGCUGGUGGCUUCAGGCACCAGGGACAGACAGGACACAGACCCAGGCCUCCACGAAGUGCCCCAGAGGGAGGGAAGGACAGCCCUUGGCUACACCUGCUCUCGAUACACUUGAUUGUAAACUCCUUCAGGACCCGUAAGGAUGCCCAGGGCACGCCACCUAGCAGCUCUCAAAAUCUAAGAAGCUCAGUAGAAGGGCCAUUUCCUGUGUAACACUUUGCCUGCCUCCCCCCACUCCCAUCUUACCUGUAUUUAUUUAUAUGAGGAAACGGUGUUUGCCACGAUAGAAACAAGCUCCCUGAAGGCAGAGACAACAUUGUUCACGUCUUUGCGUCCUCUGAACUUAGUUCACUUCCUGGCAGUGCAUACAAUGUAAUAAAUACUUCUUCAUUGGCUGAUGGUUUGUUCUCUAGAGUCUCAGAUUUGGGAGAGUGGAACUUGACCUAGAUUCAGUUCAUUCCACAAAUAUUGGUUGAGUACCUACUGUGUGCCAAUAAGCCAGUCAUUAAAAUGUAUUGAUCACCUACUGUGUGCCAGGCACUGGAUUAAGUUGAGGGAGAGGGGCAGCCCUCAAAGCUGAAGAAAUGACAGUUCCUGCCUUCCCUGCGCAUCUCCUGGGUGGGGCAUCUUUCGGAUGAAGCGUGUCUCUGACAGACAGGCUCUCAAGGUCUGAUGAUCCUCAAAGCAGCCUCCAGGACUACCCUUGGACUCUAGACCUAUAGAGCAUAUGUUGGGCAGGUCCUGCCAUGCCAGGUGACCUACUGUGUGCCAGCCAGGCAUCUAGACUGUCUGUCAUUGGAGGAUCAACCUAGCUCAGUGCAAGGAGGCUCCGUGUCCAGCAAGGGGUUGGCCUCAGAAGAUGAGCGUUCUUUAAACCUAAGACACCAAGGCACUGGGUUCUAAAACAGUGGAGGGAGGACUCAUGGAAGGGACUCUUGGAUCUUGGGAAGAUGUGGAAUUUGGAGGUCAAAACCUUUGGUCUCCCCUUCAAGCAGACCUGCAAACAGUGGCAGUAGAAACACCCCUGGAGCUGGGACCCCUUCACCCCAGGACCUCAGAGCUGGCAGGAGCCCCUGAGCAAGAAUCCCCCAACAAGGGGACCUCCAGGAGGCAGCCUGCUCCACCCCAGGCAGCACUCACAAUUGGCAAGUUUCCGUGACAACAGGCCUCUAUGGGUCUCUGCACAAGCUAGCCCAGUUCUGUCCCAACACCCUUCAAGGCUCAGCUCAGGAGCCCUGUAAAGUUCCACCCUGAUCCUGUCUUGUAUUCCAUCACCAGGGCAGUAAAGAGAAGGACUGUGUACAGCAGACCUUCCUGCCACCAUUGGCCAACAAGUUAGGGGGAACCCGGCACAAUGGGACAACUUCUGGGAUCCUCUAGGUGCUGACAGUGGUCUCGCUAGUCCUUCCUUGUUUGAAUGCACUGGACUUCCUGUAAAGGUCCAAGGGGCUUGACUCAACCUCUUCCAUGCUCGGCUUGGACUCAGCCCCAGGCUGCCUUUUGUUGUCCUUCACCUCAAUUCUGGAUGACUUGGGUAGGCUGCUCCAAGUGUCUCCCCACUCCAAGCUUAGCCUCUACUCAGCCAUGUGAUUUUCCUAAAACACGGGUCUAACCACGUGACCCUUCUGCUCCAUAAACUCCAGGGCCUCCCUGUCACCUCCAAGAUGAAAUACAAAAUGCUCUUUUGGGCAUCCAAGGCCCUUCAUGACCAUCAGUCGAGGCCGGAGUUUGGGCCGGUCCUCCAGGUGGUCAUUUUCUUUGAUGAAGCUCCCCUUGCUACCUGUCAAUUCCACUGGGUGGGUGCAGGCUCUCUAGCACUAACUCCCAAGGUCACCUCCAAACCCAUCCUACUUAAGUCAAUAUGGGGCAGCUAGGUGGCGCUGGAUAGAGCACUGGCCCUGCAGUAUGGAGGAUCUGAGUU